UCGGAAGACAGCAACAGUGUAGUCAUACAAUAAACAAACAAACAAGCUAAACUAAACUAAAAACUGCUAUGAUAAACUUGUAAAGGGAUUGGAUGGACAAAAAUCCCCAAAGUAUUCCAGAAUAGACAGCACGUACUGGAGUUGGAGCUGACCUGAGUGGCUGACCUCAGAGCCUCUGGUGGGCAAAGGUGCUGUGAGCGAUUCAGGGGCCUGAUUCUUUCUUCAUAUGUGUGUAGCUGAGGGAGUAGAUCUGUGUUUUCUUCUAAUACAUACAUAUAUACACACAUACACACAUAUAUUAAUAUAUAUUAAUUUAUUGUUUAUUUUUAAAUACCUGUAUACGUGUGGAUAUAUGCCUUUAUUGAGUGCAGACCCAGAACAACAGACAGUUGUGGGCCCCCCGAUACAGGGUCUGGGAACUGAUUUGGGGUCUUCAGUAUGUGCUCCUCACUGCUAAGCCAUGGCAUCAGCUUAGUGUAUUUCCAAAACAAAACACAACACAUGCUCUAACAAGAAAGGUAAGCUGCGGUCAGAAAACACAUGCUCUAACACCAAAGGUAAGCUAGGUCAGAAAACACACGCUCUAACACCAAAGGUAAGCUAGGUCAGAAAACACACGCUCUAACACCAAAGGUAAGCUAGGUCAGAAAACACACGCUCUAACACCAAAGGUAAGCUAGGUCAGAAAACACACGCUCUAACACCAAAGGUAAGCUAGGUCAGAAAACACACUCUCUAACACCAAAGGUAAGCUAGGUCAGAAAACACAUGCUCUAACAAACACCAAAGGUAAGCUAGGUCAGAAAACACACGCUCUAACACCAAAGGUAAGCUAGGUCAGAAAACACACGCUCUAACACCAAAGGUAAGCUAGGUCAGAAAACACACGCUCUAACACCAAAGGUAAGCUGCGGUCAGAAAACACAUGCUCUAACACCAAAGGUAAGCUAGGUCAGAAAACACAUGCUCUAACACCAAAGGUAAGCUAGGUCAGAAAACACAUGCUCUAACACCAAAGGUAAGCUAGGUCAGAAAACACAUGCUCUAACACCAAAGGUAAGCUAGGUCAGAAAACACACGCUCUAACACCAAAGGUAAGCUAGGUCAGAAAACACACGCUCUAACACCAAAGGUAAGCUAGGUCAGAAAACACACGCUCUAACACCAAAGGUAAGCUAGGUCAGAAAACACACGCUCUAACACCAAAGGUAAGCUAGGUCAGAAAACACACGCUCUAACACCAAAGGUAAGCUGCGGUCAGAAAACACACGCUCUAACACCAAAGGUAAGCUGCGGUCAGAAAACACACGCUCUAACACCAAAGGUAAGCUGCGGUCAGAAAACACAUGCUCUAACACCAAAGGUAAGCUGCGGUCAGAAAACACACGCUCUAACAAGAAAGGUAAGCUGCGGUCAGAAAACACACGCUCUAACACCAAAGGUAAGCUGCGGUCAGAAAACACACGCUCUAACACCAAAGGUAAGCUAGGUCAGAAAACACACGCUCUAACACCAAAGGUAAGCUGCGGUCAGAAAACACACGCUCUAACACCAAAGGUAAGCUAGGUCAGAAAACACACGCUCUAACACCAAAGGUAAGCUAGGUCAGAAAACACAUGCUCUAACAAACACCAAAGGUAAGCUAGGUCAGAAAACACACGCUCUAACACCAAAGGUAAGCUAGGUCAGAAAACACACGCUCUAACACCAAAGGUAAGCUAGGUCAGAAAACACAUGCUCUAACACCAAAGGUAAGCUAGGUCAGAAAACACACGCUCUAACACCAAAGGUAAGCUAGGUCAGAAAACACAUGCUCUAACACCAAAGGUAAGCUAGGUCAGAAAACACACGCUCUAACAAACACCAAAGGUAAGCUAGGUCAGAAAACACACGCUCUAACACCAAAGGUAAGCUAGGUCAGAAAACACAUGCUCUAACACCAAAGGUAAGCUAGGUCAGAAAACACAUGCUCUAACACCAAAGGUAAGCUAGGUCAGAAAACACACGCUCUAACACCAAAGGUAAGCUAGGUCAGAAAACACACGCUCUAACACCAAAGGUAAGCUAGGUCAGAAAACACACGCUCUAACACCAAAGGUAAGCUAGGUCAGAAAACACAUGCUCUAACACCAAAGGUAAGCUAGGUCAGAAAACACACGCUCUAACACCAAAGGUAAGCUAGGUCAGGAAACACACGCUCUAACACCAAAGGUAAGCUAGGUCAGAAAACACACGCUCUAACACCAAAGGUAAGCUAGGUCAGAAAACACACGCUCUAACACCAAAGGUAAGCUAGGUCAG